UACGAAGGGGGGCUAGCGUUGUUCGGAAUUACUGGGCGUAAAGCGUGCGCAGGCGGCUUCUCAAGUCAGGGGUGAAAGCCCAGAGCUCAACUCUGGAAUUGCCUUUGAGACUGAGUGGCUUGAGUACGGGAGAGGUGAGUGGAAUUCCCAGUGUAGAGGUGAAAUUCGUAGAUAUUGGGAAGAACACCGGUGGCGAAGGCGGCUCACUGGCCCGUAACUGACGCUCAUGCACGACAGCGUGGGGAUCAAACAGG
rnacentral:rRNA from 1 species